CACGUAGGGGGCAAGCGUUUGUCCGGAUUUAUUGGGCGUAAAGAGCUCGUAGGCUGUUCGAUAAGUCGGGUGUGAAACCUCCAGGCUCAACCUGGAGACGCCACCCGAUACUGUCAUGACUAGAGUCCGGUAGGGGAGCGUGGAAUUCCUGGUGUAGCGGUGAAAUGCGCAGAUAUCAGGAGGAACACCAGCGGCGAAGGCGGCGCUCUGGGCCGGGUACUGACGCUGAGGAGCGAAAGCGUGGGUAGCAAACAGG
rnacentral:rRNA from 1 species